AGUUCGAGCGCAGGAAGCUAGAUGACCUCUUCGGGGUGAUUCUAGUGGAAUGAGCGGCGGACGGGUGAGUAACACGUGGGCAACCUGCCUGUAAGACUGGGAUAACUCCGGGAAACCGGGGCUAAUACCGGAUAGUAUUUUCUUUCUCCUGAUUGAAAAUGGAAAGACGGUUUCGGCUGUCACUUACAGAUGGGCCCGCGGUGCAUUAGCUAGUUGGUGGGGUAAUGGCCCACCAAGGCGACGAUGCAUAGCCGACCUGAGAGGGUGAUCGGCCACACUGGGACUGAGACACGGCCCAGACUCCUACGGGAGGCAGCAGUAGGGAAUCUUCCGCAAUGGACGAAAGUCUGACGGAGCAACGCCGCGUGAGCGAUGAAGGCCUUCGGGUCGUAAAGCUCUGUUGUCAGGGAAGAACAAGUACGAGAGUAACUGCUCGUACCUUGACGGUACCUGACCAGAAAGCCCCGGCUAACUACGUGCCAGCAGCCGCGGUAAUACGUAGGGGGCAAGCGUUGUCCGGAAUUAUUGGGCGUAAAGGGCGUGUAGGCGGUUUCUUAAGUCUGAUGUGAAAGCCCACAGCUUAACUGUGGAGGGUCAUUGGAAACUGGGGAACUUGAGUGCAGAAGAGGAGAGUGGAAUUCCACGUGUAGCGGUGAAAUG
rnacentral:rRNA from 1 species